rnacentral:rRNA from 1 species
UAGAGGGUGAGAAUCCCGUCUUUGACCCUAGUGCAUGCUACUAUGUGAUACGUUUUCAAAGAGUCGAGUUGUUUGGGAAUGCAGCUCAAAAUGGGUGGUAAAUUUCAUCUAAAGCUAAAUAUUGGCGAGAGACCGAUAGCGAACAAGUACCGUGAGGGAAAGAUGAAAAGAACUUUGAAAAGAGAGUUAAACAGUGCGUGAAAUUGUUGAAAGGGAAACGUUUGACACCAGUCAUGUGGGUGGAAAAUCAGUCUUUUGCAUUGGGGAGUUGUAAGGGUUCGGACCGCAAGGCCGGCUUUUGCUUCAUCUUUGGUGUAAGUGAUGCACUUUUUCAUCUACAGGUCAACAUCAGUUUCUUUUGCUGGACAAAACUCCGAGAGAAGGUAGCAGCUUAGGCUGUGUUAUAGCUCUGGAGCGAUACAGUGAAGGGGACUGAGGUUUUCGCAGCGUGUGCUCUCGGGCAAGGCUGGAUGGGUGCUAUGGGAUCGUUCGGGGUACAAUGCCUGGCAUUUUGCUUCGUGUCUUUUCUAUACUCGCUCAACUCAGCUCUUCCACGCUUAGGAUGUUGACUUAAUGGUUUUAAACGACCCGUCUUGAAACACGGACCAAGGAGUCUAACAUAUAUGCAAGUGUUUGGGUGGCAAACCCAUGCGCGUAAUGAAAGUGAACGUAGGUGCGAUCCGCAAGGUGCAGCAUCGACCGAUCUUGAUAUUUUUGGAUAGAUUUGAGUAAGAGCAUAUAUGCUGGGACCCGAAAGAUGGUGAACUAUGCCUGAAUAGGGUGAAGCCAGAGGAAACUCUGGUGGAGCUCGUAGCGAUUCUGACGUGCAAAUCGAUCGUCAAAUUUGGGUAUAGGGGCGAAAGACUAAUCG